GGGCCUGUAGCUCAUGUGGUUAGAGCUCACGCCUGAUAAGCGUGAUGUCGGUAGUUCAACUCUACCCAGGCCCA
rnacentral:tRNA from 1 species